AACCCUACAGCAGGCAGUUUAUAUUAUUACUGUGGUGAAUAGCGCUAAGAUUGCAAACAUCAAAAUCAACACUACAAAAAGAAGUAUCUUCAGAAGAUUUCAAGAACAUUCCAACCGUUUCUGAGCAGUCCAGCACAGAGACAGUGCUCAACAGAGUGGUCCCACAAUUACUGCUGUGAAGGAUUCCAGAACCAGCACAUGGAGGAGCAGAAUGCACCUAUACAUUUGGCUUCCAACUCCCACAGCAUCCAUGGAAGCUGUGGAACAUGCUGAAGGGGUUUUCAACAGCCAGGUGACCACAUGAUGCUGGUAAGAAAAACCAUCUCUUUUCAAUUAUCCUAAAGUAAAAACGUGUUGAUUCCUAUGAAAACAGUUUCAUUGGUAAUCCUU
rnacentral:lncRNA from 14 species